ensembl:lncRNA
CCAUUGUUAAUAUUUUAAAAUGAGUCCUUGCAGUCUUUUUCUGCAUAAAGGUAGAUGACUUAGCUAUUUUGAUUAAUUAAUUUAGAGGGUAAUGUAUAAGUGAAACCACUUUGCUUCAGAUUAUUUGAAAAACAGCCUUUGGAUAUAAUGCUGUAGAAAAAGGAAUAUAACAGCAGUAUAUGGAUAUGUUGGAUAUACAGAUAUGUACAAAUAAGAAAGCCAUUAAAAAUGCUGCUGUGAUGAUUCAGAUGAAACAAAUCCUUUAACCUGGAUGGUGGCUAUGAAAAAAGAAAGGGGACAGGAUGAGAAAAAAAAAACACCUGUAUUUAAAAGGAAGGCAAUUCAAGUGGUUUAGAAGGAAGAAGGAAAACUCAGAAAUACCUUCCAGGUUUCAAGUCAGGGUGACUGGGGUUUUGGGGGGAAUGGACAUGAUAUUAGCUCUAGGGGACAAUUGUGUGUGUGUUCUUUUACCCAUUUUGAGUAUGUGGUGGUGUGAGAUGACUGAGAACAAAAAGGCAGAUUCAAGAUUCAUUUACUUUUUCAAGAUUUCUCUGGUUAAGGGUGAAGAUGAGUUUUCUGAAGGAGAGACUAGGGAGACAAAAGAUGGUUUGAGAGAGACAUGUGGGGACAUUCAUGUUUAGAAAAUAGAAGAAGAACAGGAGCUAGAGAAGGAGCCAGCCAAAGAAAAGUCAGAACUGUCAGAGAAUUGAGAGUAGAGUGGCUCUACAGUCAUGGGUGGAAGCUAUUUCAAAACUGUGUGAUUCACAGCCUGAAAUGCCACAGAGACGGCAAGAAGGAUGAGGACUAGGCACAAAGGAUGAAAAGAAGUCACGUAGAAGGUACCAGAUCCUGAGACAUGGAAGUGUUCAUUGCUCAGUUGUGUCUGACUCUUUGUAACCCCAUGGACUGCAGUCCGCCUGGCUCCUCUGUCCUUGGAAUUCUCCAGGCAAGAAUAUUGCAGUGGGUAGCCAUUCCCUUAUCCAAGAAUCUUCAUGACUCAGAGAUCAAACCCAGGUCUCCUGUGUUGCAGGCAGAUUCUUUACUGUUGGAGAACUCUGCUAAUAGCAGGUGUUAUUAUAUUAAAUGACUACCAUAUUUGGCAGUGAGGAAGGGUUUACCAGACCCAGCCAAAUAUCUUGCACAGAGAUGGAGCUUAACAAAUGUGUUGAAUGAAAUAAUGAAUGAGCAGGAGACAAAAGAGUAAGUGUUUAGGAGUGAUGGUGAUGUGUGUGCGUGCUGUCGUAAGUUGAGUCUGACUUUUUGUAACCCCCUGGACUGCAGCCGGCCAGGCUCCUCUGUCCAUGGCGUUUUCCAGGCAGGAAUCCUGGAUGGUACUGUGGAGGUGGCCAAUUCCUAACUCUGUCCAGCAGAGCCAAUCAGUGCCCCUUGGGACCUUCUGCCUUUGGGACUGCGUCUCCUGGACGUUGAAUUUGACUAUGCAUACAGGCCAGUCUGCUUGGGAAGCCAGGCCAGCCAUCGGGGAGCAAGGUCAAGAGAGAGGCUGGUGGCCAUUUCUCAAUAAGACUUCCUAGCAUCUCACAGGCAGUCCAGAGAAGGGGCAUCAAGUGCCAUGAGUAACCUCAGCGUCAUCAGGGAGUUGUUCUCCUAGGGUUUCCUCAUCUGCAUGAGUUCCAGUCCUUCCUGUUUGCCUUCAUCCUAUUGAUAUACGCCUGACGGUUCUGGGGAAUCUGGCCAUUGUCACCCUCACGUGCCUGGACCCCCACCCCCGCUCACCCACGUACUUCUUCCUCUGCAAUUUCUCCCUCAUGGAGGUGCUGCUGGUCACCUCCACUGUGGCCCCUAGGAUGCUGGCUGACCUGCUGUCCCCUCGCAGGACCAUGGCCCUGGCUGAAUGCCUGAGCCAGUCUUUCUUUUCCUUCUCCCUGGGCUCCACUGACUUCCUGUUCCUCACAGUCAUGGCCUUUGAUCACUCUGGGGGCCAUCUGCUGCCCUCUACACUACCGGACCAUCAUGAACAGGCCAGUCUGUGUGAAGCUGGUGGUGGUCUGUUGGCUGGUGGGGUUCCUCUCCAUCAUCUCCCUGACCCUACAGAAAACCCAGCUCUGGUUCUGCGUCCCCAGCGUCACUGACCACCACUUCUGUGACUCCGCCCCGCUGCUCGAGCGGUACUGCUCUGACACCCAGCACAUCAAGCUCAUGGACUUCUUCCUGUCCUUGCUCUUCAGAGACCAGACAAGGGCCCCUCCGCACAGCUCAACAAGGUGGUGGCCCUGAUGACUGCCCUGGUGACCCUGUUCCUCAGCCCCUUCAUCUUCACCUUCCGGAAUGAGAAGGUCCAAAAGGUCACGGAGGAUACGUCCAAAAGGAUCCUCCUCAGACACCCAGCCGCCCUUGGAUGAGAGCAAGGAAGGGGGGCCGUCCACUGCGGGUGGCACCCAGGUGCCCAGGCUGGGGCUUCUCAGUCUCCUUCCUAGUCUCUCCUGCCCCCUCCGCCCCGCUGAAGUCACUGUUCACUCUCCACAGGGAGCGGAUGAGUUCACGUCCACCAAAAGCCUCAAAGGCAGGCGUCUGUGAGCCUGUGCUAAGGAAAGGAUGAUUUCAAGGCAGCUGGGGGUGAAAACAUUGUGAUGAUGUCAAUUCAAAUUGCAAAAUUUUUUGUUUGAAGUCGCUCAGUCAUGUCCGACUCUUUUUAACCCCAUGGGCUAUAGCCAGGUUCUUCCGUCCAUGGAAUUCUCCAGGCAAGAAUAUUGGAAUGGUUUGCCAUUUCCUUCUCCAGGGGAUCUUCCCAACCCAGGGAUCGAACCUGGUUCUCCGGCACUGCAGGCAGACUCUUUACUGUCUGAGCCCCCUGGGAAGCUUCAGAACGAUAGGCCAAAAUACUGGAGUGUGUAGCCUUUCCCUUCUCCAGGAGAUCUUCCCUACCCAGGGAUCAAACCCAAGUCUCCAGCAUUGAAGGGCGAUUCUUCACCGACUGAGCCACUGCCGGGGUCCAGCCCCGGUGGAUCCAGGGUGAUUCGAAGGUGGGGGGACGGAGUCGGCGUCUUUGGAAAAAUACAUAUUUAAUCACAGAUAUAGAGAGAUUAGAAAUGGAUAGUGUAGUAGGAAGAUUAGUGGAGAAAAGGAGGCUGAAUAACUUGGUUCACAUGGGAUAGCAUCCAUGCUCCAGAUGGGAAUUCAGCCAGAAAAACAGGAGUAAGAAAGAAGCGACAUGGGGGAAUCAGUCUUUCCGGAAACUGAUCCGAUUUCUUUAUUUUUGGGUUUGCUUAUAUACCUUUUGUUACACAUAGGGAUGAAUACAGAGUCACGCGGGGGUCAGCAGUCCUGACCUUUAUCAAAAUCAGGUGCUUCACAUAAAUGUAUAAAAAAGGUAUAUCAUCUUCUGGCCAUGAGUGAGACCUGCUGACAUUUUAUGAUCCUUUCUUUCUGAUAACCAAAAACUUAUUUCUUCCAAGGGUGUUUUUUCUUAAACCAGGCACCACCCUCCAAAUAAAGUUACAUUCCUAUAGGGUGAGGGUGUAGUGAGUUACAAUCAAGAAAGGAAUUUAUUUAACCCAAGGUUUACAUGAUUAAUCUUAAAGGUUAAUACUUAUUUCUCCUAUAUGCUUAAAGGUUAAUACUUAUUUCUCCUAUAUGUUUAAAGGUUAAUACUUAUUUCUCCUAUAUGCUUAAAGGUUAAUACUUAUUUCUCCUAUAUGUUAGUUAUAUUCAUUAUAAGGGUAGGGAACAUGGAGAUUUAGCAGCAAACAUCAGCCCAACAAAUGAAAAUCCUUUCACCAAUGCUCCCCUUAAGAUCUAUUUAGUCUUAAGAUAUGAUAAAGUUACAUUCUUACAUAGCAAGGACACAGUGAUUUAUAACAAAGUACAGUGAUCUAUUACAAAAGAGAAAAUCCAUUAACUCAAAAAGUCUAGUAUUGCUAACAUAAAAAACUACCAUAUUUCCUUUGCUCUAUUCCAAAUACAUUGAUUAAUAUAUUCCCAGGUGCCUAAGGAUAUAGAGAUCUGGCGGCAAUCACUGACUCAACAAGAAGAAAAAGUCCUAUGCUAAU